UACGAAGGGGGGCUAGCGUUGUUCGGAUUUACUGGGCGUAAAGCGCACGUAGGCGGCUUGUUAAGUGAGGGGUGAAAUCCUGGAGCUCAACUCCAGAACUGCCUUUCAUACUGGCAAGCUAGAGUCCGGAAGAGGUGAGUGGAACUCCUAGUGUAGAGGUGGAAUUCGUAGAUAUUAGGAAGAACACCAGUGGCGAAGGCGGCUCACUGGUCCGGUACUGACGCUGAGGUGCGAAAGCGUGGGGAGCAAACAGG
rnacentral:rRNA from 1 species